rnacentral:misc_RNA from 1 species
UUUUUUUUUUUUUAAAUAAAAAUUUGUGCUUUCGUUUUGUUUAAUUCCUCUAAUUUGCUUUUUCUCAUAGCUGUCUUUGCUGUUUAUGAUAGUUUUAUUUAUUGAAAUUUGAUUUUUUUGUUCUGUUGUGAAUGAGUGUGUUUGGUUUUGGAGUUCACUGUUUAUUCUUUUGUUUUCUCUUUGUUGUGUAUGAGAGUCUUGAGAUGUCAUUACUAUUAUGGAGUUUCUUAAAGAAAGUAUUAUUAUUACUUUUUCUAUUUCUCCAAUUUUGUGAUAUAUAAACAGAGUUUUUCUUAAUUGAUAAUGAAAUUUUUGUGAUAUCAUGGAAUGAUCAUUGUUCCAGAGUUAAGAAACGAAUGAAGCUUAUCUUAGAAUUGUAAUUUAUCCUUGUGAGCUUAUAGAUAAUAGUGCAAUUCAAAAGUUUACAUGUUUAGGUGCCCCUUCGAGGACUAUCAUUUAUCACCAUAUGCAUGCAUUUUCUUUGCUGCCAUCGCAUAGAAUUAAUUCUGGGACUCCUCAAUUACAUCUCUUUAAGGUUAUUCAUUACAUUUUGCUAGAAAGCUUGAAAGAGUAUGUUCAGGUAGAAAUCUAUUCCUCAACCUUAUUUUGUUAAUGCUAGGAGAGUUUUUGUGGAUGAUAGAGUUUAUUUAAUGAAAUAUAUUUUUCUUUUUUU